UACGUAGGCAGCAAGCGUUGUUCGGAAUUACUGGGCGUAAAGAGUGUGUAGGCGGUGUUCUAAGUCUGUUGUGAAAUCUCCCGGCUUAACUGGGAGGGUGCGGCGGAAACUGGAAUGCUAGAGGAUGGGAGAGGUAGCGGAAUUCCUGGUGUAGCGGUGAAAUGCGUAGAUAUCAGGAGGAACACCUGUGGUGUAGACAGCUUACUGGACCAUUUCUGACGCUGAGACACGAAAGCGUGGGUAGCAAACAGG
rnacentral:rRNA from 1 species